CCUGACGACCAUAGCGAGUGGGAACCACCUGAUUCCAUGCCGAACUCAGAAGUGAAACCACUCAGCGCCGAUGGUAGUGUGGGGUCUCCCCAUGUGAGAGUAGGUCAUCGUCAGGC
rnacentral:rRNA from 1 species